rnacentral:rRNA from 1 species
UACAGAGGGUGCAAGCGUUAAUCGGAAUUACUGGGCGUAAAGGGCGCGUAGGCGGUCAUGCGAGUGUGAUGUGAAAGCCCCGGGCUUAACCUGGGAAGCGCAUCGCAAACGGCUUGACUGGAGUAGAUGAGAGGGUGGCGGAAUUUCCGGUGUAGCGGUGAAAUGCGUAGAGAUCGGAAGGAACGUCAAUGGCGAAGGCAGCCACCUGGCAUCAUACUGACGCUGAGGCGCGAAAGCGUGGGGAGCGAACAGGAUUAGAUACCCUGGUAGUCCACGCUGUAAACGAUGAGGACUGGAUGUUGGCAGGGAGACCUGUCAGUAUCGAAGCUAACGCGAUAAGUCUUCCGCCUGGGAAGUACGGCCGCAAGGUUGAA